AUGUGGAGCGCUUAGAAGUGAGAAUGCCGGUGUGAGUAGCGAAAGACGGGUGAGAAUCCCGUCCACCGAUUGACUAAGGUUUCCAGAGGAAGGCUCGUCCGCUCUGGGUUAGUCGGGUCCUAAGCUGAGGCCGACAGGCGUAGGCGAUGGAUAACAGGUUGAUAUUCCUGUACCACCAUUAUUCGUUUUAAGCGAUGGGGGGACGCAGUAGGAUAGGCGAAGCGUGCUGUUGGAGUGCACGUCCAAGCAGUGAGAUUGAGUGUUAGGCAAAUCCGGCACUCUUAAGAUUGAGCUGUGAUGGGGAGAGGAACUUGUUCCUCGAGUCGUUGAUUUCACACUGCCGAGAAAAGCCUCUAGCUAGAAUAACGGUGCCCGUACCGCAAACCGACACAGGUAGUCAAGAUGAGAAUUCUAAGGUGAGCGAGCGAACUCUCGUUAAGGAACUCGGCAAAAUGACCCCGUAACUUCGGGAGAAGGGGUGCUCUUUGAGGUUCACGCUUCGAAGAGCCGCAGUGAAUAGGCCCAAGCGACUGUUUAUCAAAAACACAGGUCUCUGCUAAACCGUAAGGUGACGUAUAGGGGCUGACGCCUGCCCGGUGCUGGAAGGUUAAGAGGAGUGGUUAGCGCAAGCGAAGCUACGAAUCGAAGCCCCAGUAAACGGCGGCCGUAACUAUAACGGUCCUAAGGUAGCGAAAUUCCUUGUCGGGUAAGUUCCGACCCGCACGAAAGGCGUAACGAUUUGGGCACUGUCUCAACGAGAGACUCGGUGAAAUCAUAGUACCGGUGAAGAUGCCGGUUACCCGCGACAGGACGGAAAGACCCCGUGGAGCUUUACUGUAGCCUGAUAUUGAAAUUCGGUACAGUUUGUACAGGAUAGGUAGGAGCCUUAGAAGCGUGAGCGCUAGCUUACGUGGAGGCAUUGGUGGGAUACUACCCUAAUUGUAUUGGAUUUCUAACCCGCAGCACUUAUCGUGCUGGGAGACAGUGUCAGGCGGGCAGUUUGACUGGGGCGGUCGCCUCCUAAAGAGUAACGGAGGCGCUCAAAGGUUCCCUCAGAAUGGUUGGAAAUCAUUCAUAGAGUGUAAAGGCAUAAGGGAGCUUGACUGCGAGACCUACAAGUCGAGCAGGGUCGAAAGACGGACUUAGUGAUCCGGUGGUUCCGCAUGGAAGGGCCAUCGCUCA
rnacentral:rRNA from 1 species